AGUGAACGCUGGCGGUAGGCCUAACACAUGCAAGUCGAACGGCAGCACAGUAAGAGCUUGCUCUUACGGGUGGCGAGUGGCGGACGGGCGAGGAAUACAUCGGAAUCUACUUUUUCGUGGGGGAUAACGUAGGGAAACUUACGCUAAUACCGCAUACAACCUACGGGUGAAAGCAGGGGAUCUUCGGACCUUGCGCGAUUGAAUGAGCCGAUGUCGGAUUAGCUAGUUGGCGGGGUAAAGGCCCACCAAGGCGACGAUCCGUAGCUGGUCUGAGAGGAUGAUCAGCCACACUGGAACUGAGACACGGUCCAGACUCCUACGGGAGGCAGCAGUGGGGAAUAUUGGACAAUGGGCGCAAGCCUGAUCCAGCCAUACCGCGUGGGUGAAGAAGGCCUUCGGGUUGUAAAGCCCUUUUGUUGGGAAAGAAAAGCAGCAGGUUAAUACCCCGCUGUUCUGACGGUACCCAAAGAAUAAGCACCGGCUAACUUCGUG
rnacentral:rRNA from 1 species